UUUUGCUUAAAAUUUGUAUUUCCAAUGGAAUCACUUCUAUGAUGGCAUUGAAAACUUUUCGAAAGUGUUUUGAAGAGUCUACUCGUGGAUUAUUGUAUUAAGCGUUGGCAUGUUUUGUUUUUCUUAUAAGCCUAUUUUAAAGGCAAUAAUAAAGGUAUAUUUCCUCGAAAUAAGUUCAUAAAAGUUAUCUUAGGAAACCCAAAUCUACCUUCCUUUUUUACAAAACAACUACUAUCUCGUAGCCGCUGAAACUAAUUACCUAUAUCAUCUUUGAAUUAUGCUGGUAUCACUCGCCGUUUAGCUGUAUUUUCCAUUAAAACUAACAACUCUCGAAGCUAAUAAUUUUCCAUACAUACUUAUAUACACGCUAAUGCAUAUAUUUUACCAUAAUUUGUUUUAAGUAUCAGCUAUUAUACAUGAGAAUGACGAACAAUGUUAUUGACCACUUAAGCGUUAGCACCGACUGCACGGAACGCUGAUAACCAACACAAGCACUUCUGAUUUAAUAUAACACAAUUCCAUCUAUAUAAAAUUAAAUGUCAACUUACUGACGGAGGCAUCGAUGGUCACCUUUGACUUAAAUACAACAACAACACAUCCCUAGGUAUAAGAUGGCAGCGCAAUAAAAGCCACAGCAAGUGGACUGUUGAGCGUAUUGCAGCAACUUCUGCCUGCAGUCAACUCCUGGCAGCGCUCCGUUAGCUACUUUCGGCGCCAGCUACAAGCUGUGGCAUUGACAUCUGUCCGACAUUUAAUGUGCGUAAUCGUAACAGGUACCGUUAAACAGAUGGGUUGCUGUCAAGAUCAAGUGAUGGCUUAUGUUCGUACUUAUAUUAGUGUAAAUUUAUUGGCGUCUCUCGCAAGACGACAGGCAAUUAUGUGUGCUUCACACAUGCAAGUACUUACACUUCCACAUAUUAUAAAACACAAACAAGCCUACGCAUUUACUUGCAAGCCAUCAUCUUCGUAGCUCAGCCUUCCGGUACGUGAUAUAAUUUUUGGCAGCCAUGCCGGAAGAUGGAUUAUGAAAUAUAGCUGGGUGGAGGGUGAAGAUCUGUGAUGGCACGCGAUACACGUGUUGAAAAAGUGAUGGUAUAUCAAUGUAAAAUCAUUAUAACCAAAGUUACUUAUUAAUGUUGUUACUUCUUUUUGUAUCUGGCAUAUUAUUUUUAAGAUUUUCUCAUAAGAAUAAAACGAGUUAUGAAGCCUAA